rnacentral:rRNA from 1 species
UGGGGAAUAUUGGACAAUGGGGGGAACCCUGAUCCAGCGACGCCGCGUGAGUGAAGAAGUAUUUCGGUAUGUAAAGCUCUAUCAGCAGGGAAGAAAAUGACGGUACCUGACUAAGAAGCCCCGGCUAACUACGUGCCAGCAGCCGCGGUAAUACGUAGGGGGCAAGCGUUAUCCGGAUUUACUGGGUGUAAAGGGAGCGCAGACGGCUUGGCAAGUCUGAAGUGAAAGCCCGGGGCUUAACCCCGGGACUGCUUUGGAAACUGUGAAGCUAGAGUGUCGGAGAGGUAAGUGGAAUUCCCAGUGUAGCGGUGAAAUGCGUAGAUNUUGGGAGGAACACCGGUGGCGAAGGCGGCUUACUGGACGAUAACUGACGUUGAGGCUCGAAGGCGUGGGGAGCAAACAGGAUUAGAUACCCUGGUAGUCCACGCGGUAAACGAUGAAUACUAGGUGUCGGGGGACAUAGUCUUUCGGUGCCGCCGCUAACGCAUUAAGUAUUCCACCUGGGGAGUACGUUCGCAAGAAU